GUCACUUAUUUACCGUUCCUUGCUUCCUCUGGACGACCGGGCCAAACGUGGAAGCUGAAUAAUCCGUAAGGAGCAAACAUG
rfam:Vibrio sp. MEBiC08052 genomic scaffold scaffold00002, whole genome shotgun sequence.